rnacentral:rRNA from 1 species
CCUACGGGAGGCAGCAGUAGGGAAUAUUGCUCAAUGGGGGAAACCCUGAAGCAGCAACGCCGCGUGGAGGAUGAAGGUUUUCGGAUUGUAAACUCCUUUUGUUAGAGAAGAUAAUGACGGUAUGUAACGAAUAAGCACCGGCUAACUCCGUGCCAGCAGCCGCGGUAAUACGGAGGGUGCAAGCGUUACUCGGAAUCACUGGGCGUAAAGAGCGCGUAGGCGGGAUAGCAAGUCAGAUGUGAAAUCCUAUGGCUUAACCAUAGAACGGCAUUUGAGACUGGUAUUCUAGAGUAUGGGAGAGGUAGGUGGAAUUCUGGGUGUAGCGGUGAAAUGCGUAGAGAUCAAGAGGAAUACUCAUUGCGAAGGCGACCUGCUAGAAUAUAACUGACGCUGAUGCGCGAAAGCGUGGGGAGCAAACAGGAUUAGAUACCCUAGUAGUC